UACAGAGGGUGCGAGCGUUGUCCGGAAUCACUGGGCGUAAAGGGCGCGUAGGCGGCUUGAUAAGCGUGCGGUGAAAGCCCGGGGCUCAACCCCGGGUCGGCCGUGCGAACUGUCGAGCUGGAGCACUGUAGAGGCAGGUGGAAUUCCGGGUGUAACGGUGGAAUGCGUAGAGAUCCGGAAGAACACCGGUGGCGAAGGCGGCCUGCUGGGCAGUGGCUGACGCUGAGGCGCGACAGCGUGGGGAGCAAACAGG
rnacentral:rRNA from 1 species